UAGGGAAUAUUGGGCAAUGGACGGAAGUCUGACCCAGCCAUGCCGCGUGAAGGAAGAAGGCCUUCUGGGUUGUAAACUUCUUUUAUCUGGGAAGAAAACACUCCUGCGGGAGGAACUGACGGUACCAGAUGAAUAAGCACCGGCUAACUCCGUGCCAGCAGCCGCGGUAAUACGGAGGGUGCAAGCGUUGUCCGGAUUUAUUGGGUUUAAAGGGUGCGUAGGCGGCCCUGUAAGUCAGUGGUGAAAGCCUCCAGCUCAACUGGAGAACUGCCAUUGAUACUGCAGGGCUUGAGUACAGACGAGGUUGGCGGAAUUGAUUGUGUAGCGGUGAAAUGCAUAGAUACAAUCAAGAACUCCGAUUGCGUAGGCAGCUAACUAGGCUGUAACUGACGCUGAGGCACGAAAGCGUGGGGAGCGAACA
rnacentral:rRNA from 1 species